rnacentral:rRNA from 1 species
GACACAGGGAGGUAGUGACAAGAAAUAACAAUACAGGGCUAAUGUCUUGUAAUUGGAAUGAUGGCGACGUAAAAGCUCGCCAGAGUACCAAUUGGAGGGCAAGUCUGGUGCCAGCAGCCGCGGUAAUUCCAGCUCCAAUAGCGUAUAUUAAACUUGUUGCAGUUAAAAAGCUCGUAGUUGAACUUCAGCCGUUGCGCCGUCCGACUUUGGUUGGUGUGUCGCUGUGGCUUAUCCUUUUACUUUGAGAAAAUUAGAGUGUUUCAAGCAGACUUUUGUCUUGAAUACUUCAGCAUGGAAUAAUAGAGUAGGACCUAUGUUCUAUUUUGUUGGU